rnacentral:rRNA from 1 species
GAUGAACUCUGGCGGCGCGCCUAACACAUGCAAGUCGAACGGCACCUAUCUUCGGAUAGAAGCGAGUGGCGAACGGCUGAGUAACACGUGGAGAACCUGCCCCCUCCCCCGGGAUAGCCGCCCGAAAGGACGGGUAAUACCGGAUACCCCGGGGUGCCGCAUGGCACCCCGGCUAAAGCCCCGAGGGGAGGGGAUGGCUCCGCGGCCCAUCAGGUAGACGGGGGGGUGACGGCCCACCGUGCCGACAACGGGUAGCCGGGUUGAGAGACCGACCGGCCAGAUUGGGACUGAGACACGGCCCACACUCCUACGGGAGGCAGCAGUGGGGAAUCUUGCGCAGUGGGGGGAACCCUGACGCAGCGACGCCGCGUGCGGGACGGAGGCCUUCGGGUCGUAAACUGCUUUCAGCAGGGAAGAGUCAAGACUGUACCUGCAAAAGAAGCCCCGGCUAACUACGUGCCAGCAGCCGCGGUAAUACGUAGGGGGCGAGCGUUAUCCGUAUUCAUUGGGCGUAAGAGCGCGCGCAGGCGGCCCGGCGGGCCGGGGGUCGAAGCGGGGGGCUCAACCCCCCGAAGCCCCCGGAACCUCCGCGGCUUGGGUCCGGUAGGGGAGGGUGGAACACCCGGUGUAGCGGUGGAAUGCGCAGAUAUCGGGUGGAACACCGGUGGCGAAGGCGGCCCUCUGGGCCGAGACCGACGCUGAGGCGCGAAAGCUGGGGGAGCGAACAGGAUUAGAUACCCUGGUAGUCCCAGCCGUAAACGAUGGACGCUAGGUGUGGGGGGACGAUCCCCCCGUGCCGCAGCCAACGCAUUAAGCGUCCCGCCUGGGGAGUACGGCCGCAAGGCUAAAACUCAAAGGAAUUGACGGGGGCCCGCACAAGCAGCGGAGCAUGUGGCUUAAUUCGAAGCAACGCGAAGAACCUUACCAGGGCUUGACAUAUGGGUGAAGCGGGGGAGACCCCGUGGCCGAGAGGAGCCCAUACAGGUGGUGCAUGGCUGUCGUCAGCUCGUGUCGUGAGAUGUUGGGUUAAGUCCCGCAACGAGCGCAACCCCCGCCGCGUGUUGCCAUCGGGUGAUGCCGGGAACCCACGCGGGACCGCCGCCGUCAAGGCGGAGGAGGGCGGGGACGACGUCAAGUCAUCAUGCCCCUUAUGCCCUGGGCUGCACACGUGCUACAAUGGCCGGUACAGAGGGAUGCCACCCCGCGAGGGGGAGCGGAUCCCGGAAAGCCGGCCCCAGUUCGGAUUGGGGGCUGCAACCCGCCCCCAUGAAGUCGGAGUUGCUAGUAAUCGCGGAUCAGCAUGCCGCGGUGAAUGCGUUCCCGGGCCUUGCACA